rnacentral:tRNA from 1 species
AGCUCAGUUGGUAGAGCAUGAGGCUCUUAAUCUCAGGUAGUGGGUUCAAGCCUCAC